AGCGCAUCUUGUACAUCACACUAAUAUGUGCUUUAAUUUACCAAGUGAGAUUAGUUACUUUUAUGGCUCAUUCAGUCAUAUCACACUGCAAGCUGCAUUCAUCAAUCUUCCGUUGGAUUUUGCAAAUGUUUAAUGAAACAUGUUUCUCUUUUAUGCAGAUAUGCAAUGGCAAGCCCUUCCGUGUGCUCCACAGAGAAUGCCUACGCCUAGCCACAGCAGCUCCCUCAUACAGACUCCGCAAGCCAAGAGGCCGUGGAGGCAAAUGCAGGCAGCCAGCACACCUCGAACAGCCACCUUGGCUGCGGGUGUGUCACCCUAGUCGCCAAGGAAACAUUUGAGGGAAAGCGACAGGCAAUGUGAGCAGCCACUUCUCCAUGUAAACAAUACUCUUUCUCUCGGAUGACUCCUACGCCUC
rnacentral:lncRNA from 1 species